CUCAGCAUCUCGACUGGAUCACGGAGGUGGCCAAUCAUAAGCGGGCUUCUGGCUGCCCAUAGCUAAUCAGGAUUGAAAGAGGCGAGUGCCUGGAAAUGGGACGAUCGGCAAGGUAUGUGAACAGCUGAAGGAGCAAGAAGAAUAAUUUCAGCACAGUGCUAUGGUUACUGGACCGACAACACAGCUGGAUGUGAGGCUGUCUGGUCGAGGACGGGAGGAGGGGGCUGAGACCCAUCUCAGGACCUGGACUUGGAUGAAGUGUGCCAGGAAGGGUGUCCAGCAUGGCUUGCCACGCAGUCCCAUAUCUGCACCCGGGAUCUGAACCGGUGAACCCUAGGCUGCCGAAGCAGAACAUGCGAACUUUAAGCAGAACAUGUGAGUUUAACCGCUGCGCCACCAGACCGGCCCCAGUGGUAUUUUUCUUCCAUUGACACAUUCUUAUGAAAAAACUGCAUGUCAGAGGUAGAGAAACUAGAAAAUGUAUUUAAAAUAGGGAGUAUCAACCACUUGGAAAAUCACUGCUAACAUUUUGGUGCAUAUCCUUGCCAGCGGCUAAUUUUAAUAUUCACACAAAUCCCUGAGGAACUGGCAAAAUACAAAUUCCAAUUCCGUAGGUCUGGGGUGGGGCCUGAGGUUCUGUUUCUACAAUGCUCCGAGGUGAUGCAGACAUUGACGGUCUCCAAAUUCACUUGAGCAAGGCUGUAAACUACCUAUGUGUGUGUCUGUAUUUUGGGUUGUUCCCAACUUUUUAGUAUUACGAAUGAUGCUGCAGUGAAUCUUUGCCCAUAGAAUUUUCAAUAUUUGUCUAUUUCCUUUACAUAAAUUCCUAAAUGUGUAUCGCUGGGUCAAAGGUAAAGCAUAUUUUAAGGCUUUUGAUACAUAUUGCAAAUAUUUCUUGAAAAAGGUAAAACCAGCUUAUAUCCCCACUAGCAAUAUCUGAGUGCCCGUUUCCUCACACCAUAGUAACGCGUAACUCUUGCCAAUUUGAUAAUCAAACAGGAGUACCUCAUUGUUGUUUCAAUUUGCAUUUCUUUGAUUAAUAGUGAGGCUGAGUAUCUUCCAUAUUUUUAUUGGAAUUUGUGUCUCUUCUUUUGUAAAUUGCCUAUUUGUGUCCAUGCCCCUUUGUCUAUUAGGGUGUUUACUUCUAUUCUUAUUGAUUUGAAACAAGCUUUGGAUUUAACUCUUUGUUACAAAUGUUGAGCAUGGUGUGCUUAAGAAACCACAAGUCGUUUCUUUUUGAAGAUUGGCACCUGAGCUAACAACUGUUGCUAAUUUUUCUUUUUCUCCCGGAAUCCCCCUAGUA